CCUACGGGGGGCAGCAGUAGGGAAUAUUGCUCAAUGGGGGAAACCCUGAAGCAGCAACGCCGCGUGGAGGAUGAAGGUUUUCGGAUUGUAAACUCCUUUUGUUAGAGAAGAUAAUGACGGUAUCUAACGAAUAAGCACCGGCCAACUCCGUGCCAGCAGCCGUGGUUAUACGGAGGGUGCAAGCGUUACUCGGAAUCACUGGGCGUAAAGAGGGAGUAGGCGGGAUAGAAAGUCAGAUGUGAAAUGCUAUGGCUUAACCAUAGAACUGCAUUUGAAACUGGUAUUCUAGAGUAUGGGAGAGGUAGGUGGAAUUCUUGGUGUAGCGGUGAAAUGCGUAGAGAUCAAGAGGAAUACUGAUUGCGAAGGCGGCCUACUAGAACAUAACUGACGCUGAUGCGCGAAAGCGUGGGGAGCAAACAGGAUUAGAUACCCGAGUAGUC
rnacentral:rRNA from 1 species